GCAGUUGCGACUCCGGUGCAUGAAAGGUGCGAGGAGUGAUCAUCUUUUUUUUUAUAAGCUAUCUUUGACGUUUUUUGCCUUCCUGCUUGCGGUGCUGGGUGGUGUCUGUCGUCCUGGAUUUUUGGAAUUUGAAAAGAAUAGAGAAGAAAAGAAAAUAGAGGAGAUAGCAGACUGGAACAUCACUGGAUACUUUGGAGUUUCCAAGGAGCUGUCAUUUUGUGCGGCUAUUGACCGAGUGAAGGAAAAUCAUUCCCGGCUGGUUUUUUGUGUUUACAUCCUUCUGCUGGAUUCCUGGUGCUUCCGUCCACCGUCUCCUACUGCGACAGACCUGCUUCUCCACCCUGAUUCCCCAUCUUGCUUCCCCAUCCUGGACACCACUUGGUUCAACAACCAUUGACUUUGGACUUGCUUUUGAGGGAGGGCGGUAGGACGAGUGCACUCGUUUUAUUUCAUUUAAUUCCUUGGUUUAUUGGUCUUGUUUUUUUGGAGUUUUUUUCAUUUAUUGUUUUCCUGAGAUCUCAGAGUUUUGUUUUAAAUGUUCUUUCAUGAUCUGGAUAGACCUGUGUUCUGGUUGAAUUUGAACUAAAUUAUAGUAACUGAUUGUUGAAGAUAACUGAAGAUAAUUUCAUUUUCUUUUAUUAUUUCACUGCUAUUUUUUUUUUCCCCAGUAUUCAAUUUUAUUAUUUCUGAGCUGCUGAAAUUGCAAAAUUUCUAUUCUGCAUUUCAGUGAUUAUACUUCCUUUUAAAACUUUACAUUUUGUCACCGUGUGUUCUUUGGGGUGAAAUUUAUAUGUUUGCUUCCACAGACAGGCCAGCAUAAAGCCACCUCCUCUACGAGCCUAGGUCAGAGAUAACCCUUUACCUUUUUUUUUUUCCCUUUUCUUUUGUAGCACCUCACCCUGUCUAAGGUGACGGGUGCUAGAGAGGGUUACAUAUGGAAAGCAUAUUUGACCAAACUGUGCAUUUAAGCUCCGGAACAGCAUUUUUAAGAGCAGAAAAAUCAUGAAUGCUGCAUUAAUGUGAAGGUCAUGUUGAUACACAAAUGUCUUCUUCAGAAUGACUUCAGAUGUGAUAAAUAUGUAUGCAAAUGGUGUUUCAGGUGUUGUGGAUUGAAGAAAUUGCAGGAAACACAUAUCUCAGCAACAUGUGCAUUUCAGCUCAGGAACAGCAUUUGAAACGUAUAGAAUUCAUGAAAGCUGCGCGAUGGCACAUUGUAUUGUUUUCAAACACAUUUCUUCUUCAAAAUGAUUUGAAAUGUUGAUAGAUAUGAAGGCAAAUGAUUUUCAAGGUGUUCUGGUUUGAAGGAAUUGCAUGGACAGCAUAUUUGACCAAACUGUGCAUUUAAGCUCCGGAACUUCAUUUUUAAGAGCAGAAAAAUCAUGAUAUCUGCAUUAACGUGAAGUUCAUGUUGACACAGAAAUUUCUUUUAGAGACUGAGUUGAAAUGUUGAUAGAUAUGAAGGCAAAUGAGUUAUGAGGUUUUCUGGUUUGAAGGACUUGUAUGGACAGCAUAUUUGACCAAACUGUGCAUUUGAGCUCAAGACAUACAUUUUAAGAGCAGAAAAAUCAUGAAUGCUGCAUUAAUGUGAAGUUCAUGUUGAUACACAAAUGUCUUCUUCAGAAUGACUUCAGAUGUGAUAAAUAUGUAGGCAAAUGGUGUUUCAGGUGUUGUGGUUUGAAGAAAUUGCAGGGAACACAUAUUUCAGCAACAUGUGCAUUUCAGCUCAGGAACAGCAUUUGAAGCGUAUAGAAUUCAUGAAGGCUGCACGAUGGCACAUUGUUUUGUUUUCAAACACAUUUCUUCUUCAAAAUGACUUGAAAUGUUGAUAGAUAUGAAGGCAAAUGGUUUUCAAGGUGUUCUGGUUUGAAGGAAUUGCAUGGACAGCAUAGUUGACCAAACUAUGCAUUUCAGGUCAGUCACAGCAUUUUAGGAGCAGAAAAAUCAUGACAGCUAGAUCAACGCGAAGUUCAUGUUGACACACAAAUUUCUUCUUCAGAAUGAAUUGACAUGUGAUAAAUAUGUGGACAAAUGGUGUUUCAGGUGUUGUGGUUUGAAGAAAUUGCAGGGAACACAUAUUUCAGCAACAUGUGCAUUUCAGCUCAGGAACAGCAUUUGAAGCGUAAAGAAUUCAUGAAGGCUGCACGAUGGCUUUUUUUUUGUUUUCAAACAAAUUUCUUCUUCAAAAUGACUUGAAAUGUUGACAGAUAUGAAGGCAAAUGAUUUCUAAGGUGUUCUGUUUUGAAGAAAUUGCCUGUACAGCAUAUUUGACCUAAAUGUGUAUUUCAGCUCAGGAACAGCAUUUGAAGCGUAUAGAAUUCAUGAAGGCUGCACGAUGGUACAUUUUUUUGUUUUCAAAUAAAUUUCUUCUCCAAAAUGA